rnacentral:lncRNA from 1 species
UUUUUUUUCAAAUAAUUUUUUAAAAAAAUCAUAAUUUGCUAAAUAAUUCUAUCAAAAUUUAAUUUAGCUAAAUAAUUCUAUUUCAUCCAACCCAGUAUCAGGGUGAAAGAACAAUUAGAAAAUAAUUAAUCGUUCACUAUUUUUUUUAAUAAAAUUUUAAAAAAUAAUGAAUCAUUUAUCGCCUUUUCAUUUAAAAAGAAAGUGGAUAACAGUUCAUCAUUUUUUUCAAUUUUCUAUAUAAAAUUCUAACAACACAUAAAAAUUUUUACAAUCAGAAGAAUCUUAAUAAUCUAUCUAUAUAAUUCAAAUAAUCAAAUAAAAAUUUAAAUACUACAUACAAUCUUAACAAUUUCAUAAAAUUCUCACAACCUAUAUAAAAACGAUAAUAAUCUAUUAUGGAUAUUUUGGACAAUCGGCAGGUACCUCAUAUAUUUUUGUAAUUACAAAAUAUAUUAAAUAUUUUUAUAUUAUGUAAUUUAUGGAUUUUAAGACUUCAUAUUAUUUAUUGUAUAUUGUAAUAUUU